AGAUAUCUCUCUCUCUCACACACACACACUUCAGGACCCAGGAGCCUGGAGAGGCUCCGUCAGAUGCACCGUGGGAGGCUAGAGGCUUCAAGGGGAGGCCAUCCCAGCCCAGACUCUGUGGCGGAUGUCGGCACACAGAUGACACUAUCAGGGCCCAGCCGGAGGUCUGGCAUUCCCAGCAGACACCUGGGCAGGAAAUCUCCCUGGGUAAUCGUCGCAAGGAAGCCGGAGCCAAAGAAGACACACACACACACACACACACACACAAACACAAGCCCUCCUGGUCUGCUCCCUCAUUUGCACUUGCAACAGCCCACUGCUGAGCUGCGACUCUCAAGUCCAGGGAGCAGACGGUUUGGCAGGCUUGGGAGAGUGUUUUGUUGUAAAACAAACAAACUCGAAAGCAAGUGAGACACUGAAUGCAUCUGCCUCCGUGUUUCUCUGUCUCUUUCACUUUCUCCCUCUGUGUAUGUGUUGCAGUUAUAACAGUAGACACAGCCGUGGUAGACUUUAUGGUAAGCUUACUAUACCACUCCUCAGAAUGUUGCCAAAAGUUCCAUUGAUUUGAAUGGGCCACCCCAAUGUAAGGAGAUCUAAUUUUUCUUUAUAUUGACUGCUGCAAGAAAGGAAUGACUGCAGCCAUUGGCAUUGCAUUAGGACCGGGGGUUGCUGUAGGAUGAAUGUAACAACAUAUGCAUGUGAAAUUUUAGGCAAGCUGUGUGUUUUGAUAUUUGAGUGUGUGUGUGUGUGUGUGUCUGCGUCUGUGUUACUAUGAUUAAAAGGCAUGCCCUGAGAGGAUGUUUCUUUGGAGAAACAAUAGGCCAGAGGCUGGAAAAUCAGGAAGAAACUUUAGCAGCCAGUCCACCACCUCCCAACCCAGGCUGGCCCCUGUGUGAACCUCUACCCUCUGGUGACCAGGGCAACCAAAUAUGUAGUGGUUGGGUCAAAAGGUCGACAGCUGACUUUCUGAUUAGAGCCGAAGGAAACGAGCGCCACUUAAUAUCACGCUAAAUCUCAGCGCCAGACGUAAUUAACCCAACCUGGACCGGGCUAGUCGCCAGACGUGUUUGUGUACUAAAAGUUGGUCUCACAGGAAACAAAAAGCUCAAGAACGGCGUUUAUCAUAUCGAAACUAAACUAAUGAAAAUCUGUGGAGCCAAAGUGAGCUUGUGCCUUUUAAGAGACUGGGAGAGAGGAGACAUGGAUUCUCUCAGAGGUUGGUUACUGAAACAUUACCACAAGCCCUAAUCUUAUCUUGGAAAAGCUGCAUAAGAAAAUGUGCUUUCCCUAUGCUUUGUCUUCUGGAACUGUUUACUGUGUUUGUUUGUUUUAUUGCCCGGUUUUACAGUUCCCUGGACAGGCCUGGUAAAUAAACCUGUUACAAUGAUUUAUCACCUGCACAAUAAAAAAUAAACACCCCACACCAUUGCGCCCCUUGUACCCCGCCAGACCGUUGCUGUUUGUUCUGCCUUUGGCUCCUAGGCUGCUGUGACACCUUCAGAUCUCUUUGAAGCGCCCUUAGGUUAGGUUAGGUUAGGUUAGGUUUUGGAACAAAAGUCCCACCCUGGAAAAUUCCUCCAAAACACAAAGCUUCUAGUCAACAAAAGCCCUUACGACAGGUGCAAAAACAUUUAGCAUGGGCUUAACCAAUAGCAGAGUGCAAGUCUGCCUUGAUUUUGUUCUUCCGCAUACCAAUAAAUUAGAACCCAUCAAUAUAUUUAGCUUUAAAUUGAAAUUUCAGCUCACUUUGUUUGACUUAAGUAGACAAGGGAACAGAUUUUGAUGAGAAGUAAUAAAGGCCGUAGCCUAUUCAGUUUUGUUUGUUUGUUUGUUUGUUUGUUUUUCUACACCAAUAACAGAAAGUGUAUGUUGGUUAGGAGAGUUGUUAUUCCAUUUAUGCUAGCCAGGGAUUUAGGUCAGCCACAGCUUAAGCACUAGCGUGCUAAGGAAACAGUGCCAGGAAAAGAAAAAAAUUGUGGCCAACCACAGCAUGUUCUGAGUAAUUAAGCUAAGUGCUAACUACUAGACUAAUUCAUUUCUUUUUCAUUUUUCUGUCUGUCCUCCUCUCGGCCAGUCACAUCGGAACAUCCCAGUGGUGGCUUGACACCCUGCCAGUGACCUCCGCAUGCUUCUGCCCUCAGGAUCUCCAGAGGUGACUGGUGGGGUCACUGUCCUCUGUCCUCUCAUUUACACAAUGACUUCCCCCUGGGCUUUACGGCCCAAGACAAUAGGAGUUUGGAAGGCUGAGAGGAGGGAGGGCAAGACAGCCUGCAGAGCUAAAGGUUAUCAGUUUUAUAACAGGAAUUGGAGCCAAAAGCUGGGAUAAAGAGGACGUAUUCGUUUGGGACAACUGCUUUUUUUCGCGGGGCAGGGGAGACUGCUGACACAUCAUUAACAUUAUUGUUAAGGAGACAAGUUCAGAGACAGGACCCUCGCCCCCAGCACUGGUAAUUACACGUGGGGACUUAAUUGGCUUUCAAACGUAGUGCCUCCAUUGUCAUGCGGUUGUCGUUUUUUUUUUGCGGUUGUAUAUCAAAAGGCUGAGGGUUUGCUAUCUCUACUCUUGACAGGUUCUGAGAGAACCACCGGGCCACCGUACUCCAAAUGGCCGCAUGUGAAA